AGAACCAGUCAAAAUCAACAGUGCUAUCAAGAAAAACCUAAACCACAAACCCAACCCAGAAGCGAUGGUAAGUGUGGUACAUGCUGUAAUAGUUGCGAACAUUUUGAGAAUGCACAUUUUUACGUUACCCCUAUUAUAUUUUAAUGUACUUAACCAUAUCAAUAGGCAGCAGAACCACCCUAAAUAAAAUACAUCAGAAAAGAAAAUUCAAUUUUAUCAUAGUAGUGCAAAGUUCCACAAGUCCCAUAUAAUUCAACCAAAGACAGUUUUAUGAAUUCUAGAA
rnacentral:lncRNA from 1 species